AUGAGAACAAAACCCGUGACAUGGGGUUUUUUCAGACUGCGACUGCGGAGGGCGGCGGCGGUGCCGUGCCUGCCCCUCACGGUGCCGGACAGCUCCGGGGCGGCACCGCGGCUCUCCGGGGUGCGCGGCCCGGCACCGAGCCCCGCGCGCCGAGCCCCGCACCCGGCCUGGCAAUGGGCACGGCCCCGCACAGGCCGCGAAAUGUCGGCGCCGCGGUACGCCCUGGGAGCUGUAGUCCCGCCGCUCAGCCCCGCUCCCCAGCUCGCAAAAUGUCCCCCGCCGAGGGAAGGCGGCCGCCUACAGCUCCCAGGAGCCCCCAGAGAGGCGGAGCGGAGAGGGGGCGGGAGGCUCCGGCCCUUUCCGCGCCGCUCUCCCCGCCGGGAGUUGUGGUCCUGCCGCCGCCGUGGCCGCUCCGUGGAGCCCGGCAGGGACUCGGUGUCCCGGCGCGCCGCGGGCGGCGGGGCAGAGGAGGCAGCAGGAAAACGCACAGUGUGUUUGAGCAGCACCAGGAUGGAGGAGCCCACUGGGAACCUUCCCACCCGGAGAGACGUCAUUCUUUCCGAGUCGUGCUGGGAUCACAUCACCAUAACAAACCUGGUGGAAGUGCUGAGAUCUUUGGUGGCUUUAACUGACCCUCAGGAGGGGAAGCUGACUCAGUCUCGAGAGAAAGCACUAAACUCGCUGGGCAUUUGGAAAACUGUAUUUAGAGCUGUUCCUGGGUCUGCAUCAAAGACUGCAGUGGAGUGACAGCUCGAAGAUGGGAGACCAGGAAGGAG
rnacentral:lncRNA from 1 species